rnacentral:rRNA from 1 species
AUGCACACGGAGCUACUGCGCGCCCAGCUCUCGCGCGCACAGGCGCGAUUCAAGAAGCAGGCGGAUCGCCAUCGCGCCGAGCGCGCCUUCGACGUCGGCGAACAAGUCCUCCUCAAGCUACAGCCAUACGCUCAGUCCUCCGUUGCCAACCGCCCGUGCCGCAAGCUGGCAUACAAGUUCUUCGGCCCCUUCACGGUCGCGGAGCGCAUUGGCACACUGGCGUAUUGCCUGCAAUUUCCACCAGACAGCCGCAUCCAUCCCGUCUUCCACGUCUCGCAGCUCAAGCCGUUCGUCCCCGACUACUCUCCGGUCUUCGCGGAGCUGCCCAAGAUACCUGACCUCACGGCUGCGGACCGCGUCCCGAUCACCAUUCUGGAUUGCCGCAUGAUGAAGAAGGGCGAUGCCCCGGUGAUCCAAGUUCAAAUUCAGAGCGCCAUGCCACCGUCUGCAGCAACCUGGGAAGACUACUAUGUGCUACGACAGCGCUACCCGGACGCGCCCAUCUGGGCAGAGGACGAUCAGCCUGCUCGAGGGGGGGGAAAUGUCACGCCUGCAGAUCAGCCUGCAGCGGACUGA